GUUGAGUGUCAUUGUAAUACCUUUCCCUUGAUUUAAGGGAGUAGACUUGCAUAAGUUAAGUUUAGAUAGGUUGGCAGAUAGGUUGGCAGCUUUAUUCCUUAUUUUUUUAUUUUCUUGUUGGCUGCUUGCAGCAGCUUUAUUUUCCACUUUCUUCCUACUACUUUCUCCCCAUUUCCUGAUUUCUUGUCGGCUGCAUAUAGCAGCUUUCCCUCCCUUUUCUCAUAUAUAUCCAGACUCCCUCUUGUACCAAUACACAUGAAAUACAUAUGAAAACUUUAAACCAGAAAUUCUACAUGGUAUUAGAGCAGGUUUUGUAACCUGUCUCUGGCCAUUCUUCCCGCUGCAUCUUUCUUUCAAUCGUAAGCCAUGGUUGAAGAAGAUUCAAUAAACAUUGAGGGUGACAUCUCGCAUGCCUCUCCUUCAAAUUUCUCAGACGUCGAGGUUAACACCAAUCAACGUUUGUGUUCAGUUCUCUUGAAUGAGUUUAAUUAUCUCCCUUGGUCUCGAGCUGUGUCACUAGCUCUCGGAGGCAAAGGGAAAUUAGGAUUUGUAAAUGGAAGUGUGGAAGCUCCAGACAUCUCCUCCCCUUCAUACGAUGCAUGGCUUUGCAAGGAUCAACUUGUCAUGUCUUUGCUGCUCAACACCAUGGAGAAACAUGUUGCUGAGAUUUUUAGCUACUACAAUUCUUCAUGUGAGCUUUGGAAAGCAUUGCAAGAUAUGUAUGGGAAAUCAAAACAACUAUGCACGUGUCUUUCAACUUAAGAAGGACAUAGCCAGUGCCCAACAAGAAGGGAAAGCAUUUGUUCAACAUCUUGGAAGCCUCAAAGCCAUGUGGAAUGAGUUGGAUGUAUACCUUCCACAUACCACAGAUCCUAUCAUUCUCCUUAAACGAGCUGAGGAAGACAAAAUCUACCAACUGUUGGGGAGUUUGAACUCCGAGUACGAGGAUCUAAGGAGUCACAUCUUGAUGAGUCAGGAGCUUCCCACGUUCAACAAUGUCUGUGCAACUAUCCAACGAGAAGAAGCAAGAAAGAAAGUGAUGAAUGCUGAGCACAACUCGAGAUUGAUUGAGACUCGUGCAUAUGCCUCAAACUACAAGACCUCAGAGGCAAAAGUGUACAAGGGUAAAAAUACACACUUGAAAUGCAAAUAUUGCAAUGACGUUGGUCAUGUGGAAGACAAGUGUUGGGAACUUCAUCCUGAACUCAAGCCUAAGUUCAGCAAAGAUGGAAAAAUGAUACCAAGGUCCUCACAGCCAUUUCAACCUCACUACAAGGCUCAACUUGCCAAUGCUCAUCCCUCUACUAUCUCACAAGGAUCCAUGGAGUUCACUACCAACCCAUUGUCACUUAUCAAUGAGUUUGCAGCUUACCUUCAAAGUAAGGAACACGAAGGAGGUUCACAAGCUCGAGGCAAUGAAAAGAGCAGUCAUACAGCCAUGUUGGGACAGUUUGCUGGCUUUCUUGCUGGAAAUGAGAAAGUCCCAAAGGAUGAAGCACCAGGUAUACUCAAAGCUUUCACUACUGCCCUAUUAACUAGUACUGAAAAUGAUUGUUGGGUAAUUGAUUCAGGAGCCACAGAUCAUAUGACAAACAAAGUCACAAAUUUGAAUCAUUUUAAACGUUUUUUAAGUCCCUCACAUGUGUCUAUUGCAAAUGGAAAAAAUGUCUUAGUUUUGGGAAAAGGAGAAAUAAACUUACUCUCACACAAAACACCUUCCACUGCCUUAUAUUGUACCAACCUUUCCUUUCCAACUUCUGUCAAUUGGAAAGAUCACAAACACCCUAAAUUGCCGUGCCAUUUUCUCACCAGAUAAUGUGAUGUUUCAGGAUGUUCUCACCAUGAAGAUGAUUGGUGAAGGGGUCUUUAUAAAUGGACUUUACUACCUGUGCAAGAAUACCUGUUUUACUCAGGCCCUUUAAGCUCAAUCAAAGUCCGUAGAUGAAAACCAACUUUGGCAUAAGAGAUUAGCUCAUCCCUCUGAAGUUAUCUUGUCUAAAUUAUUUCCAAAUUUUUUGUAAAAAUCAUGUUACUUGUGAUACUUGUCAAACUUUCUAAGUUUACUAGACUACCUUUUGGUAAUUCAAUGUCUAGGACAAGUAAACUCUUUGAAAUGGUGCACACCGAUGUAUGGGGACCAACAACUGAAUCAAUAGAAGGGUUCAAGUACUUUGUUCUAUUUAUCGAUGACUUCUCUCGAAUGAGUUUUGUGUACCUUAUGAAAUCAAAGAGUGAAGUUCAAACUAUUUUCAAAGAUUUUCAUAUGCAUGUUAAGACACAAUUUCAAUCAGACAUUAAGGUGUUAAGAUCUGAUAAUGGCACUGAAUUUCUAUCCAACAACAUGCUUCAAUACAUAAGUUCUCAGGGCAUAAUACAUCAAACCAGCUGUGUAGGGACUCCCCAACAAAAUGGAGUAGCCGAGAGAAAAAAAUAGAGAUAUCUUGGAGAAGACUCGUGCCCUCAUGCUUCAUAUGCAUGUUCCAAAGAAAUUUUGGUCAUUUGCUAUCCUCACUGCCACCUACCUCAUCAACCGACUCCCAAGUCAUGUGUUAGGGUUUAAAUCUCCCUAUGAAGUACUCAAGGGUAGGAAAAUUAAUUUGACACACCUCAAGGUAUUUGGAUGUGUUUGCUUUGUUCACAUUCAAGCCUUGAACCGUGACAAAUUAGAUGCCAGGGCAACCAAGUGUGUGUUUGUGGGGUAUUCUUCCACCCAAAAGGGAUACAAGUGCUACAAUCCAACCACUAAGAAAUGUGUUGUGUCAAGGGAUGUGAAGUUGAAAAAGAUUGUCCUUAUUUUACUCACAAGGGAAAUAUUGCAAGUCAGGGGGAUGAACUGUUUGAAAUCUUUCCACUUCCUCAGAACAUUAAUAAUCCAGUAUUGGAAGAGAGUUCAGUUACUGUGAUACCAGAUAUUGAAGAAAUACAAACUGACUCAAUCACUGAUAGCAGUAUCCCGGCCAAUGAGAGAGACGAGGAGUCUCAUUCUGAUAAUUCACAAUCUCCUACAGAGCCUCAAGGGCUUAGAAGAAAUCCUCCUCGAACCAGAAAACCUCCAACUAGGCUGCAUGACUAUGUUACUUAUGCCUCACGGUAUCCUAUUAGUGAAAACAUCAGUCUUGGUAAGUUCUCAACAUCUCAUGCUACAUUUCUCUGUGAAAUUGAUAAACACAAUGAACCUAGAAGCUUUCAAGAGGCUUUUCUCCUCCCACAAUGGAAACAAGCCAUGGCAGAUGAGCUUAGUGCUCUAGAAGAAAAUAAAACUUGGAGCUUGGUUCAACUACCACCAGGAAAAAAAGCUGUUGGAAGUCGUUGGAUUUACAAAAUUAAAUUCAAGGCUGAUGGUUCUAUCGAGAGACACAAGGCUAGGCUUGUUGCUCGAGGUUUCACCCAAACCUUUGGGGUAGAUUACAAGGAAACAUUUGCUCCUGUGGCCAAGAUGAAUUCAGUGAGGGUUCUACUCUCAGUUGCAAUCAAUUGUGGGUGGACUCUUUAUCAAAUGGAUGUGAAGAAUGCUUUCCUUUAAGGAGAGUUACAAGAAGAAGUGUAUAUGCAGCCUCCUCCAGGUUUUGAUGGUAUUAAAGACAACAUGGUUUGUAAGCUACACAAGGCAAUCUAUGGAUUGAAACAAUCCCCAAGAGCUUGGUAUGCCAAGCUCAGUUCAGUUCUAGAGAAGGCUGGAUUCCUACGAAGUAAUGCUGAUUCCUCAUUGUUUGUAAGAACUGGCACCAGUGGGAAAUUGGUGGUGCUCAUCUAUGUAGACGAUCUCAUCAUCACAGGAGAUAGUGUUACUGAAAUUGAGGCACUAAAAGUCUCACUAUGCCAAACAUUUGCUAUCAAAGAUCUGGGGAAACUAAAGUAUUUUUUGGGCAUAGAAAUGGCAACCUCUUCAAAGGGGCUAUUUCUACAUCAACGGAAAUAUGUAUUGGAUCUUCUUCAGGAAGCAAAAAAUGCUUGAUUGCAAAACCUGCCAUCACUCCCGUGGAUUCUAAACUAAGGCUCAACACAGAUGGAGAAGCCAUGCAUAAUGUGAGUUACUAUCAACGAUUGGUGGGCAAACUUAUAUAUCUCACCAUCACACGUCCGGAUAUCACAUAUGCAGUGAGCCUGGUAAGCCAAUUUAUGCAUUCUCCUACAGUUGAUCAUCUUAACAUGGUUAAGAGAGUUCUGCGUUAUCUCAAGGGUUCGAUAGGGCAGGGAAUCAUCAUGCGUAACAACAAUUCCACUGCCAUCAGUGGCUACACUGAUGCAGAUUGGGCAGGGAAUGCUCUUGAUAGGAAAUCUACCACGGAUUAUUGCACGUUUGUUGGUGGAAAUCUUGUCACUUGGAAGAGCAAGAAACAACAUGUCAUUGCUCGCUCUAGUGCAGAGGCUGAAUAUCGAGCCAUGGCAGCCACUGCAUGUGAACUUAUAUGGCUUAAAGGGCUUCUUUCAGACUUAGGGUUUACUAGCACUACUCCUAUGUCUCUUAUGUGCGAUAAUCAAGCAGCCAUGCACAUCGCUGCUAACCCUGUGUUCCAUGAAAGAACGAAACACAUUGAAGUGGACUGUCAUUUUGUUAGAGCUCAAGUGCAAACUCAAGUCAUUCAGACCAUCUUCACGCGAAGCCAUGAUCAACUGGCAGAUCUCUUUACCAAGGCUCUCUGACAUCUACUCCAUUUCAUCGUUUUUUGGGCAAGCUUGGCUCGAUUAAUCUACUCGAUCCAGCUUGAGGGGGAGUGUUGUUGAGUGUCAUUGUAAUACCUUUCCCUUGAUUUAAGGGAGUAGACUUGCAUAAGUUAAGUUUAGAUAGGUUGGCAGAUAGGUUGGCAGCUUUAUUCCUUAUUUUUUUAUUUUCUUGUUGGCUGCUUGCAGCAGCUUUAUUUUCCACUUUCUUCCUACUACUUUCUCCCCAUUUCCUGAUUUCUUGUCGGCUGCAUAUAGCAGCUUUCCCUCCCUCUUCUCAUAUAUAUCCGGACUCCCUCUUGUACCAAUACACAUGAAAUACAUAUGAAAACUUUAAACCAGAAAUUCUACAAUAACUAUAUGAAUAACGAAUUUCAAAACACAAUAUACUAGAAAAUCAAUCACAUACAAUUGUUCUUUAAACUCUCUUUAAAAGCAAAAAUAGAAAACUAACCUCUUGUGUAAAAACGAUGAGAAGGAACGGAGAAAAAAAAAACCACCUGUUCAAGAGUUAAAAACAUGAAAUAUCAAAAUGUAAGAACAACAAAAAUCAAAGUUCAGAAUUGUAUACAAAUUCUUUGUUCUUCGCCCCCUCUACAACACCACCAAUAACAUCACUUACCAAGUGAAGGUG
rnacentral:lncRNA from 1 species